rnacentral:rRNA from 1 species
CGGCUUAAGAGUUUGAUCAUGGCUCAGGAUGAACGCUGGCGGCGUGCCUAAUACAUGCAAGUCGAACGCUGAAGAGCUUGCUCAGAAGAGUGGCGAACGGGUGAGUAACACGUGGGAAACCUACCUCUUAGCAGGGGAUAACAUUUGGAAACAGAUGCUAAUACCGUAUAACAAUAGCACCGCAUGGUUGCUACUAAAAGAUGUUCUUAUCACUAAGAGAUGGUCCCGCGGUGCAUUAGUUAGUUGGUGAGGUAAUGGCUCACCAAGACGAUGAUGCAUAGCCGAGUUGAGAGACUGAUCGGCCACAAUGGGACUGAGACACGGCCCAUACUCCUACGGGAGGCAGCAGUAGGGAAUCUUCCACAAUGGGCGAAAGCCUGAUGGAGCAACGCCGCGUGUGUGAUGAAGGGUUUCGGCUCGUAAAACACUGUUGUAAGAGAAGAAUGACAUUGAGGUAAUUCAAUGUGUGACGGUAUCUUACCAGAAGGAACGGCUAAAUACGUGCCAGCAGCCGCGGUAAUACGUAUGUUCCAAGCGUUAUCCGGAUUUAUUGGGCGUAAAGCGAGCGCAGACGGUUAUUUAAGUCUGAAGUGAAAGCCCUCAGCUCAACUGAGGAAUUGCUUUGGAAACUGGAUGACUUGAGUGCAGUAGAGGAAAGUGGAACUCCAUGUGUAGCGGUGAAAUGCGUAGAUAUAUGGAGACACCAGUG